CCCUUAGAUGUUCUGGGCCGCACGCGCGCUACACUGACGAAGUCAGCGAGCAUGUCCUACGCCGACAGGUGCGGGGAAUCUUGUCAAACUUCGUCGUGAUGGGGAUUGAUUAUUGAAAUUCUUGAUCAUCAACGAGGAAUUCCUAGUAAGCGCAAGUCAACAGCUUGCGUUGAUUACGUCCCUGCCCUUUGUACACACCGCCCGUCGCUACUACCGAUUGAAUGGUUUAGUGAGAUCUUCGGAUUGGCGCCACUGCGGCUCAGCAAUGGGCUCGGUGGAUGCCGAAAAGUUGAUCAAACUUGAUCAUUUAGAGGAAGUAAAAGUCGUAACA
rnacentral:rRNA from 1 species